CGGCGGGGCGCGCGCCCGCCCGCUUCUCCACCCGGAAGAGGCACCUGAGCCGCCAACUUGAGGCAGUGCGCGGCCCGGCGUCCCUCGGGAGCGCGGGCCCGACCGAGCAGCCCGCUUGGCGCCUAUCUCGCCAGGGCGCCAGGCGGCCCCGCGGGAGCCUGCGCGUCCCCGGGGCCGACGGCGCCUCGAGCGGCCCCGCGCGCGCCACCCGCCCCGCCUCCACUCGGGGCCUCCUCCCGCCAGGCGGGCUCUCCGCACGACCCCGCCGCCCGGCCGGAGCCCUUCGUGCCCCUCGGCGUCGGGAGCAGCGCGCCCCCGGUGACUUCUGACACCGCGUAACCGCCAGUAAGUGAAAGCCGCCGCCUCGUUUCACCAUUCUUUAUUUCUGCCUCAGUGCGUCCCAAGUCUUGCCCACACCUGGUUAAUUCCAAAACUAUUCAACUUCGGGACCGGGCCGGCGACGGAGCUGCCCGCAGCCGAGCCUAGGAAGUGUUGUUGUCGGGCACGGGCAGUGUCCAGAGACGGAAGUGUGGAAAGCUGUUCUCCCGGCACAACUUGGCUCCACGUUUGCUGAGCGCCCGCGGGGAGGAGGCGUUACCCAGAUCAAGAUGAAUAGCGAUCAAGUUACAUUGGUUGGCCAAGUGUUCGAGUCCUAUGUUUCGGAGUACCAUAAGAACGACAUACUUCUCAUCUUGAAGGAAAGAGAUGAAGAUGCUCAUUACCCAGUUGUGGUUAAUGCCAUGACCCUUUUUGAGACCAACAUGGAAAUUGGGGAAUAUUUCAAUGUAUUCCCUAAUGAAGUGCUAACUGUUUUUGAUAAUGCACUGAGAAGAUCAGCCUUGGCGAUUCUCCAGUCCCUUUCUCAGCCUGAAGGUCUCUCCAUGAAGCAGAAUCUUCAUGCCAGGAUAUCAGGAUUGCCUGUUUGUCCUGAGCUGGUGAGGGAGCACAUCCCUAAAACCAAGGAUGUGGGACACUUCUUGUCUGUCACUGGGACAGUAAUUCGAACAAGUCUGGUGAAGAUCCUGGAGUUUGAGCGGGAUUACAUGUGUAACAAGUGCAAGCAUGUAUUUGUGGUCCAGGCUGACUUUGAGCAGUAUUAUACUUUCUUCCGGCCAUCCUCAUGUCCCAGCUUGGAGAACUGUGAUUCUUCAAAAUUCACUUGCCUCUCAGACUUGUCAUCUCCAACUAGGUGUAGAGAUUAUCAGGAAAUCAAAAUUCAGGAACAGGUUCAAAGGCUCUCUGUUGGAAGUAUUCCACGAUCGAUGCAGGUUAUCCUGGAAGAUGAUUUAGUAGACAGUUGCAAAUCUGGUGAUGACAUCACUAUUUAUGGGGUUGUAAUGCAGCGGUGGAAGCCCUUUAAGCAAGAUGUGCGCUGUGAAGUGGAGAUAGUCCUGAAGGCCAAUUAUGUCCAAGUAAAUAAUGAACAGUCUGCAGGAGUCAACAUGGACGAGGAGGUCCGAAAGGAAUUUGAAGACUUUUGGGAACACUAUAAGAGCGAUCCUUUUGCAGGAAGGAAUGAAAUAUUGGCCAGCUUAUGCCCUCAAGUUUUUGGAAUGUACCUAGUAAAGCUUGCUGUGGCCAUGGUGCUGGCUGGUGGGAUUCAAAGAACUGAUGCUACAGGAACACGGGUCAGAGGUGAAUCUCAUCUUUUAUUGGUUGGGGAUCCUGGCACAGGGAAAUCUCAAUUCCUCAAAUAUGCAGCAAAGAUUACACCAAGAUCUGUGCUCACCACAGGAAUUGGAUCUACUAGUGCAGGUCUGACGGUAACUGCUGUGAAAGACUCAGGAGAGUGGAAUUUGGAGGCGGGAGCACUGGUCCUUGCAGAUGCCGGCCUCUGCUGUAUCGAUGAAUUUAAUAGCCUUAAAGAGCAUGACAGAACUAGUAUACACGAAGCAAUGGAGCAGCAAACCAUUAGUGUUGCUAAGGCUGGCCUCGUGUGCAAAUUGAACACAAGGACCACCGUCCUUGCAGCAACUAACCCCAAAGGCCAGUACGACGCCCAUGAGUCUGUGUCAGUGAACAUCGCCCUUAGCAGCCCGCUCUUAAGUCGAUUCGACCUGAUCCUGGUUCUGCUUGAUACCAAGAAUGAAGACUGGGAUCGUAUCAUUUCCUCUUUUAUCUUAGAAAACAAAGGUUACCCAAACAAAUCAGAGAAGCUCUGGAGCAUGGAAAAGAUGAAAUCCUACUUCUGCCUCAUUAGGAAACUACAGCCCACACUGUCUGAUGAGGGUAAUCAAGUUCUGCUCCGGUACUAUCAGAUGCAAAGGCAGAGUGACUCCCGGAAUGCUGCCCGAACCACCAUCCGCCUGCUGGAGAGCUUGAUACGACUAGCAGAAGCUCACGCUCGCCUGAUGUUCCGUGAUAGAGUGACUCUGGAAGAUGCUGUCACAGUGGUGUCAGUAAUGGAGUCCUCUAUGCAGGGAGGUGCGCUGCUAGGAGGUGUGAAUGCGCUCCACACUUCCUUUCCUGAAAACCCUCUGGGGCAGUACCAGAGGCAGUGUGAACUUAUUCUGGAAAAGCUGGAGCUGCCCAACCUCUUGAGUGAAGAACUGAGAAGACUCGAAAGGUGCUAACCUCGGGGGAGGGCAAUCAAGAAUGGAGAGCAGAGGAGAAAGCCCGGGGCAUGAAGGAUCUCUGACAGAGGAACCAAAAAGGCUGGAAUGCUAAACUCAACCACAGAAGCCGGAGACCUGCCUGCAUUUAACUCUCAUGAUGAAAACAUCUCUUCCAAAAUCAGCCUCCUCGGGCACUUCCAGCCGACGCACAGCUCAGCUGAAAGAUCUGUGCCCUGAAGGCAUUUCCAGGGCCAAAGAGUUUGGUGAACUCAAGAGAAACAGAGGAGCUCGGAAAUAUAGAUGUUCUGCCACCCACUCAAAGAGCACAGAAUUUCACAGCUUUGGUUUUGCAGUGGUGGGUACCAGAGGACUAAAAAUGAAAGUGGGUUAUGGAUUUUUCUAUCUUUUCAUUCAGCAUUUUUUUUCCCAAACGCUCUUCCCCUUUCAAGAACCAUCAACAUUCCUUUCCUUUAAAUUAACACCGUAAGGAAUCAAAGUCUCAUUUCCUGGAAACGCAGGGCUGGACUGCUGCCAUCCCUCGAACGAGCCCCCAUGGAGAAGAUGCGGAGACGUGAGCUGGGGCUUCCGGUGGAUGCAUAUUAAACACCUCAGACUGGAAGCUGAGGUCAUGGAUUACUUUCUCAUUGCUGUCAAAGAAAUUCCAGGAACUCCUGCAGCUCUUCACAGGCAGUCUAGCACGGAUCUCGCUUGUCAGCAGAAGUGAACCAUAUGGUCACUGCCCUCAGGCCCCAUGUUACACAAUGUCGCUGCUUUGCACAUUCAUAGCAGAUUUGUUUCCUCACCAACCGUGAGAGGCUGUAUUUUAAACAACUGCAGCAAAACUAUAUUUGUCAAGCAUCAGAAGCAAAGUGUAUUUUGUACAUCAGUAGUCUUGUUUCUAAUCAAUUCAGUUUUCUGAAUAUUGGAAGUUCAGUCAUCUGGCUUUGAUUUCUGGCUUGUUUAGAGAAACUAAUAAUGCUUAAUAAAGCUCUGAACCCGCUUUGAGCUACGUCUUCGUUCUGUGAGUCCAUCAGAGUGAGAAGUCACACAACGGGUUUUGCCACCCCUCCUACAGAUGUGCGUGGACCCAGGAGUGCCCGGAGACCGACCAUCACCAGCUGUGGUUCGCCCGCCGGCUCCACACCGCAGCUCAGAUGGGUCACCUCCCAGGUGUUCAGUCCACGACUGCGGAGCUGGCGAGGAUCUCGAGCGCCGUUUGUUGUGCUGCAGAUCGGUUUGACUGAUGCCACGUUUCUGCUUAAAGCCCCUUGUUUGUUUUUUGUUCUGUUCUUCAGUUUUUAUUGGAAUAUAGUUGAUUUGCGGUGUGGUGCUAGUUUCAGGUGUAUACCAAAGUCAGUCAGUUACACGUAUACAUACAUCCACUCUUUUUCAGAUUCUUUCCCCAUACAGGUUGUUACAGAGUAUUGAGUAGAGUACUGUACUAUACAGUAGGUCCUUAUUAAUUUUCCCGUUUACAUAGAAAGGACUUCUCUGGAAGCUCAGACAGUAAAGAAUCUGCCUGCAAUGCAGAAGACCUGGGUUUAAUCCCUGGAUUGGGAAGAUCCCUUGGAGAAGGGCAUGGCAACCCACUCCAGUAUUCCUGCCUGGAGAAUCCCAUGGACAGAGGAGCCUGGUGGGCUACAGUCCAUGGGAUCACAAAGAGGCAGACACGAUAUAGUAGUGCGUAUAUGUCAGCCCCAGUCUCCCAAUUUAUCCCUCACCCCUCUGUCUCCCCCUAGUAGCCAUAAACUUGUUUUCUACAUCUGUGACUCUAUUUCUGUUUUGUAGGAGGCAGCUUGAUUCUGACAUAUGUUUUGCACUGGGAGCUAAGACCAUAAGAGUUUGAACUGCAUGGUGGUUUUUUUUUUUUUUUGGCUGAAGAAGAAAGAAAGAACUUUUAUCAGUAUUUUUUUUUUCAUACACAACUGGGAGAAAAAUUAAGACAGGACUUGUAUCUCAGACACCAGUUCCUUGGGUAAUCUCAGAGACCAGGGGACCAGAAUAGAUGUUUGGAGCAUGUGAAGACUUGUGGUCUCUGCCGCAGUGAUAACUAAUUCACUACUUCCUAAGACUGUGUGAGCCAUGCAAUAUACUUUGUUCUCAGCUGCAAUGGCAUCUGACCCUGUAGUCUCCAUACACCCCUCAAUGUGGCCCCAAGAAUGUGACCAAAAUCUGGAAAGGCCACAAAAUACUCAGAAGAAAGCUAGUAGACGGAUUCUUCUGGUAUAGGUGGUGUAAUAUAAUUUGCCAAACUGCUCAAGACUCUGAGCUAAGGAAUCUGGAGGGCAGAUAUCACUUGGCUCCCCUCCCAGCACACAUGUUCCACCCACUCAUGCUGAAAAAGGAGAGACUCCCUGGAGGCUUGAGAAGUUAUCAGCAUGUAGCAUUCUGUGUGCAUCUACUCCCAUCCACAUGGGUGCACAUCACCUUCAGUGGAUCCUCACGGUCCCCCCCUCCAAUUGCAUCUCACACUUCACAGGCAACCUCAAUAAUAUUCUGAUAACCUGCAGAGAGUUGGGCCAAAACGCCUACCAGAACCAAGAGCUAGAGCAGUAGGAAGGGUGUAGGCCAGGAGGGUGUUCAAAACAGCUCACCCUCCCCAUGCAGAAGGCCAAGUACCAACUGGCUUGGAUGCUGCCAUUUCAAUAUGGAUACUUAGAUGUGGUCAUCUUGACCAGAAUAGAAUCAAGCUGUUAAUUUUUCUCUUUUGUUUUCCCAAAUUAAAACCUGCUAUAUUAUCUUCAUCUGAUGAAAAGAAAACACAAAUAUUCAUUUUAAAAGAAUCAGACAGUGCCAAAAAUUAUGGCAUACAACCCAUCUGAAACAAAAUACUUGGUGAAUAUCUUUUCCAGAAUUUGUUUGCUGGACAGUAUGAAAAUCACUGGUUUGGACUUUCUGGGAAGCAGAUGCUGAGAUGGAGUUUAUUGUGCAGGAUGUUUCUCAAGAACUGUCUUGGGGUCAACACCCAUGGAAAGAAAGGGUUGAAAGCAGAAUCAGAGAGAGAGAGAACUUGAGCUAUGUUGCAACCUUGGCAGAUCUGACUGGGAGCUCUGAGAUGAAAAAUAACCCAUCAGAGGUGCUCACUAUUAGGUUGAAAUGGCCAACCUUAUGCCCUUGCCUCUCUGCUCAGGAGGGUGGGACAUGGAGAGACCUAGCCUUACAGCUGGGCAGUUCCUGAACAGGCUGACAGCAACAAGUCCUUUUCAGAAGAGGCAUCUAGGCAGCGCACUUCAUGUCCAUCACACAGGGAGACACAUUAUUAUUGUAAACAAGAAUGGAGUCAUAUCUUCCACACUAUUAUGACACUGAUAUUUUUUACUUAGCAACAUACUGUAAAUAUUUCCCUGUAACCCAAAUACAUAAUAGAUCACAUUCAUUUUUAAUUACUGCAGAUACUAUAUCGAAUAGGUGUACAAUACUAAUCAAAUUCCUGUUGAAGGGUGUUUGAGGACCUUUCUAUAUUUUUUGCCUUUAUAAUUAAUAAACUCAGUCAUGAACAUCCUAAUGUAUAUAUAUCUUUUCACACAUGUGAAAUUAAUUAUUAGCAUAAUUAUUAACACAAAGUAAUCUCAAAAGUGAAAUUGCUGGACCAGAAGGUAUCCAUAUUUACAUUUUGAGUGUAGUGCCAAAUUACUCCCCAGAAAGUUGUAACAAUUUUUCUGAGCACUAAGGAUAAUCAGCAUCAAUCUUUGUAAUCUUUGCCAAUUUCAUAGGUGAAAAAAAAGCUUGUUUUCUUAGUAACAUUUAUUAAUUAGUAGCCAGGUUAAAUGAUGUUUCUUAUGUUGACAUCAUAUUUCUUCUUCAAUUAUUUUUCCUUUUGUGAAUUACUUGUACUGAUCCUUUGCCCAUUUUUCUCUGGUUUGUGUCUGUUAUACUGAGGGUAGUAAGCCUGUUUGAUAUAUAUGACAUAAUGCUAUUUACUAAUAUCCUGUGUCUUAUUUUUCCUUUCUUUUUCUUUCUGUUCUUUUUUUAAAAAAAAACAAACAACAACUAAACUAACCAAAUUCAUUUAUCCUCUCUUAGAGUUCCUAAUAAGUUUCCCUCUACCCACCUUGACAGAUAUUCUCCUGAUACUUCUGUAAAUCCUCACACUUUCAAGGUUUCUGUUAGUAAAUAAUGUGAAAAAGAGACAUUCUCUCCCAGCCCACUCCUUGGUCUCAUCUUAUUCCCCAACCACACCGGAUUACCUUUUAUGGAGAAAAGUUAUGAAAGAAACACAGAUUUUCUAAAUCCAUGGCUGAUUCAUGUCAAUGUAUGACAAAACCCACUACAAUAUUGUAAAGUGGUUGGCCUCCGACUAGUGAAAAUAAAAAAAUAAAAAAAAAGAAAAGAAACACAGAUUUUACAUUUCAUAAUGGUCACUUUGAUGCAACUGCAUCGAGAUGUCUGCUUUAAUGGCCUUCCUUCCAUCAAAAAUGCCCGAAUGGCUAGACUUUCUGUGUGGGGUCCAUAGAAGCCCUGCCCCUACCUACAAUAGGAGGCUGAGCCGGGGAGCAGUGACAUUUCCUCCUCCAGCCUGCGAACCUCAGGCGAUGCAACAGAGCUAUGGACAAUGGAAAGUGGACACAAUCAUGUUCCAAACCUAGGCAUUUUUCCUGCUCACCCACGUCCUAACCCCACAUUCCCCUUUCCCUCUACCCAGGUACAAGGUACAAGCUUCCUAGCUCUACCUGGAUUUCCGAGUUAUCCACUCUGUUUUCCGCCCCAUUUUUUUUUUUAAUUAAAUGAAUGAACUGAUUUUUGGCUCUCCUUGGUCUUGCUGCGCAGGCUUUUCUCUAGUUGCAGCAAACGGGCUUUUCUCUCAUUGCGAUGCGUGAGCUUCUCCUCUUGUGGCAGGACACAGGCUCAAGGGCAGCCGGCUUUAGUAGUUUCAGCUCCCUGGCUCUGGAGCACAGGCUCAAUACUUGUGGCGCAUGGGCUUAAUUGCCCUGCGGCAUGUGAUAAAUUCCCCUUUGGGGAUCAAAACCGUGUCUCCUGCAUUGGCAGGUGGAUUCUUUACCAAUGAGCCACCAGGGAAGCCCCCUCCUGUUGUUUUUAAAAACACCUUUAUUGAGGUAUAAUUUAAGGAUCACGAAAUCCACUCAUUUUCAAUGUACAUUGCAAUGAUUUUUAGUAAGCUUACUGUGUUGUGCUACCAUCACCACAAUACAGUUUUAGGACAUUUUCCUGACCUCACUAAGAUCUUUCAUGUCUGUUUACAAUUAAUCCCCUUUCCCAUCCCAACUCCAGGCAACCACUAACCUACAUUUUGUCUCUAUGCAAUUGCCUUUUCUGGACAGAAAUUAAAUCAUAUAUGCCUUUAGUUUUGACGUCGCCUCUUAUCUCCGAUGAGAAAUUCCAGAUUCAACCUCAGCUCUAUGGAAACUUGCUGGCCAGACAUGGGUUCACAUAACUG